GCUAAUACAUGCAAGUCGAGCGGACGAUUCAAAAGCUUGCUUUUGAAUCGUUAGCGGCGGACGGGUGAGUAACACGUGGGCAACCUGCCCUGUAGACGGGGAUAACACCGAGAAAUCGGUGCUAAUACCGGAUAAUACGAAAGGCCGCAUGGUCUUUCGUUGAAAGGCGGCGCAAGCUGUCGCUACAGGAUGGGCCCGCGGCGCAUUAGCUAGUUGGUGAGGUAACGGCUCACCAAGGCGACGAUGCGUAGCCGACCUGAGAGGGUGAUCGGCCACACUGGGACUGAGACACGGCCCAGACUCCUACGGGAGGCAGCAGUAGGGAAUCUUCCGCAAUGGACGAAAGUCUGACGGAGCAACGCCGCGUGAGCGAAGAAGGCCUUCGGGUCGUAAAGCUCUGUUGUUAGGGAAGAACAAGUACCGCAGUCACUGGCGGUACCUUGACGGUACCUAACGAGGAAGCCACGGCUAACUACGUGCCAGCAGCCGUGGUAAUACGUAGGUGGCAAGCGUUGUCCGGAAUUAUUGGGCGUAAAGCGCGCGCAGGCGGUUCCUUAAGUCUGAUGUGAAAGCCCACGGCUCAACCGUGGAGGGUCAUUGGAAACUGGGGGACUUGAGUGCAGAAGAGGAGAGCGGAAUUCCACGUGUAGCGGUGAAAUGCGUAGAGAUGUGGAGGAACACCAGUGGCGAAGGCGGCUCUCUGGUCUGUAACUGACGCUGA
rnacentral:rRNA from 1 species